rnacentral:lncRNA from 1 species
UUGAUUGGUUGGUUGGUUGGUUGGUUGGAAUUCAAACACACAUAAAACUCUUUAAAUAGUGCCAAAAUCACAUAAUUUGCCUCUUAGUACAUGACCUUGACCUUUGACCUUUCGACCUUCGUCAAGGUCAUUGCUCCACAAUGUCAUUGCAAAAGACCCUAUGGGUCAAGGACCUUUUGUUUAAGAGUUUUGCCUAAUAAUGGCUUUUUAUAAACCAUAAAUGGGGGUUAUGUCCCUUACAUAAUGGUAAAACCAAUACAGUCAUAACGUAACAAAGUUGCCCCUUGAAGUACCAAGCAUUUUUCA